GGCUCAGGACGAACGCUGGCGGCGCGCCUAACACAUGCAAGUCGAACGGAGUCAAGAGGAGCUUGCUUUUCUUGACUUAGUGGCGAACGGGUGAGUAACGCGUGAGUAACCUGCCCUGGAGUGGGGGACAACAGUUGGAAACGACUGCUAAUACCGCAUAAGCCCACGGAUCCGCAUGGAUCUGCGGGAAAAGGAUUUAUUCGCUUCAGGAUGGACUCGCGUCCAAUUAGCUAGUUGGUGAGGUAACGGCCCACCAAGGCGACGAUUGGUAGCCGGACUGAGAGGUUGAACGGCCACAUUGGGACUGAGACACGGCCCAGACUCCUACGGGAGGCAGCAGGGGGGGAUAUUGCACAAUGGGGGAAACCCUGAUGCAGCGACGCCGCGUGGAGGAAGAAGGUUUUCGGAUUGUAAACUCCUGUCGUUAGGGACGAUAAUGACGGUACCUAACAAGAAAGCACCGGCUAACUACGUGCCAGCAGCCGCGGUAAAACGUAGGGUGCAAGCGUUGUCCGGAAUUACUGGGUGUAAAGGGAGCGCAGGCGGACCGGCAAGUUGGAAGUGAAAACUAUGGGCUCAACCCAUAAAUUGCUUUCAAAACUGCUGGCCUUGAGUAGUGCAGAGGUAGGUGGAAUUCCCGGUGUAGCGGUGGAAUGCGUAGAUAUCGGGAGGAACACCAGUGGCGAAGGCGACCUACUGGGCACCAACUGACGCUGAGGCUCGAAAGCAUGGGUAGCAAACAGGAUUAGAUACCCUGGUAGUCCAUGCCGUAAACGAUGAUUACUAGGUGUUGGAGGAUUGACCCCUUCAGUGCCGCAGUUAACACAAUAAGUAAUCCACCUGGGGAGUACGACCGCAAGGUUGAAACUCAAAUGAAUU
rnacentral:rRNA from 1 species